UACAGAGGUGGCAAGCGUUGUUCGGAAUUACUGGGCGUAAAGGGCGCGUAGGCGGCCUUCUAAGUCAGACGUGAAAUCCCCAGGCUUAACUUGGGAACUGCGUCUGAUACUGGGAGGCUUGAGUGCGGGAGAGGGAUGUGGAAUUCCAGGUGUAGCGGUGAAAUGCGUAGAUAUCUGGAGGAACACCGGUGGCGAAGGCGGCAUCCUGGACCGACACUGACGCUGAUGCGCGAAAGCUAGGGGAGCAAACGGG
rnacentral:rRNA from 1 species